UAUCGACUGACCUAGCAGACAAGCCAAGACGAUAGAAUCUAUUUCCAAAGGAGGAAAUUAUG
rnacentral:ncRNA from 1 species